rnacentral:lncRNA from 1 species
GACACGUCGCUCCAGAAAGUUGUGAGAGAGCGGAGCAGAGACUUAUUCUGUAGGGAAAGAAGGCUUUCUUCUUCUUUUUCUUUUGUUUUUUCUGAAGAAAAAAUAAUAUAAAAAUAAAAGAAGAUAAGUAAAUUGUAACAAUGACCCUUCAAUUAAAAAUCUAUUACCAUUAAUUUCUCAAUUUAUCAAAAUGUGUAGCUACAGUCCUUUUCAUCAAUUUCGUAAAAAUUUUGUCAAAAUAAGUUAUGUUGGA